AUUGAACGCUGGCGGCAGGCCUAACACAUGCAAGUCGAGCGGUAACAGAACUAGCUUGCUAGUUGCUGACGAGCGGCGGACGGGUGAGUAACGCGUGGGAAUCUGCCUGGUAGUGGGGGACAACAGUCGGAAACGACUGCUAAUACCGCAUACGCCCUUCGGGGGAAAGUGGGGGAUCUUCGGACCUCACGCUAUCAGAUGAGCCCGCGUCGGAUUAGCUUGUUGGUGGGGUAAGAGCUCACCAAGGCGAUGAUCCGUAGCUGGUCUGAGAGGAUG
rnacentral:rRNA from 1 species